UCUUNCGCGCCGUAGCUAACGCAUUAAGUGCCCCGCCUGGGGAGUACGGCCGCAAGGCUAAAACUCAAAGGAAUUGACGGGGGCCCGCACAAGCGGCGGAGCAUGCGGAUUAAUUCGAUGCAACGCGAAGAACCUUACCAAGGCUUGACAUGUGCCGGUCUGCUCCGGAGACGGGGUUUCCUCCUUUGUGGGGGCUGGUUCACAGGUGGUGCAUGGUUGUCGUCAGCUCGUGUCGUGAGAUGUUGGGUUAAGUCCCGCAACGAGCGCAACCCUUGUCUCGUGUUGCCAGCACGUUGUGGUGGGGACUCGCGGGAGACUGCCGGGGUCAACUCGGAGGAAGGUGGGGAUGACGUCAAAUCAUCAUGCCCCUUAUGUCUUGGGCUUCACGCAUGCUACAAUGGCCGGUACAGAGGGCUGCGAUACCGUGAGGUGGAGCGAAUCCUUUAAAGCCGGUCUCAGUUCGGAUCGGUGUCUGCAACUCGACACCGUGAAGUUGGAGUCGCUAGUAAUCGCAGAUCAGCAACGCUGCGGUGAAUACGUUCUCGGGCCUUGUACACACCGCCCGUCACGUCAUGAAAGUCGNC
rnacentral:rRNA from 1 species